GACGAACGCUGGCGGCGUGCUUAACACAUGCAAGUCGAACGGAAAGGCCCUGCUUGCAGGGUGCUCGCGUGGGGAACGGGUGAGUAACACGUGGGUGUACCGCCCCCUACUUUGGGAUAAGCCUGGGAAACAGGGGCUAAUACUGGAGAGAGCCAUGCCUGAGGUGGUGUGGUGGAAAGAUUAGUUUCGGUGAGGGAUGAGCUCGCGGCGUCUCAGCUUCUUGGUGGGGUAAUGGCGUACCAAGGCGUCGACGGGUAGCCGGCCGGCGAGGGUGGUCGGCGGCAUUGUGGCUGCGGUACGGCCCAGACGCCUACGGGAGGCAGCAGAGGGGGAUAAUGCACCAUGGGCGCAAGCCUGAUGCAGCGACGCCGCGUGGGGGAUGACGGCCUUCGGGUUGUAAUCUCCUUCCAGCCAUGACGAAGCCCUUUUGGUGACGGUAGUGGGAGAAGAAGCACCGGCUAACUACGUG
rnacentral:rRNA from 1 species